GACUUAGCUGAGAGGUGGUGCAUGGCCGUCGUCAGUUCGUACUGUGAAGCAUCCUGUUAAGUCAGGCAACGAGCGAGACCCACGUCCACAGUUGCCAGCAUACCCUCCGGGGUGAUGGGUACACUGUGGAGACCGCCGCUGCUAAAGCGGAGGAAGGAGUGGGCAACGGUAGGUCAGUAUGCCCCGAAUCUCCCGGGCUACACGCGGGCUACAAUGGUUGGUACAAUGGGCAUCUACCCCGAAAGGGGAAGGAAAUCUCUUAAAGCCAAUCGUAGUUCGGAUUGAGGGCUGCAACUCGCCCUCAUGAAGCUGGAAUCCGUAGUAAUCGCGUUUCAACAGAACGCGGUGAAUACGUCCCUGCUCCUU
rnacentral:rRNA from 1 species